GCCUAGAUGAUUUUAGUGCUUGCACUAAAUGAAACUAGAUACAAGCGAGCGGCGGACGGGUGAGUAACACGUGGGUAACCUGCCCAAGAGACUGGGAUAACACCUGGAAACAGAUGCUAAUACCGGAUAACAACACUAGACGCAUGUCUAGAGUUUGAAAGAUGGUUCUGCUAUCACUCUUGGAUGGACCUGCGGUGCAUUAGCUAGUUGGUAAGGUAACGGCUUACCAAGGCAAUGAUGCAUAGCCGAGUUGAGAGACUGAUCGGCCACAUUGGGACUGAGACACGGCCCAAACUCCUACGGGAGGCAGCAGUAGGGAAUCUUCCACAAUGGACGAAAGUCUGAUGGAGCAACGCCGCGUGAGUGAAGAAGGGUUUCGGCUCGUAAAGCUCUGUUGGUAGUGAAGAAAGAUAGAGGUAGUAACUGGCCUUUAUUUGACGGUAAUUACUUAGAAAGUCACGGCUAACUACGUGCCAGCAGCCGCGGUAAUACGUAGGUGGCAAGCGUUGUCCGGAUUUAUUGGGCGUAAAGCGAGUGCAGGCGGUUCAAUAAGUCUGAUGUGAAAGCCUUCGGCUCAACCGGAGAAUUGCAUCAGAAACUGUUGAACUUGAGUGCAGAAGAGGAGAGUGGAACUCCAUG
rnacentral:rRNA from 1 species